rnacentral:rRNA from 1 species
UCGAGGGGCAGCAUGGUCUUAGCUUGCUAAGACUGAUGGCGACCGGCGCACGGGUGAGUAACACGUAUCCAACCUGCCGUCUACUCUUGGACAGCCUUCUGAAAGGAAGAUUAAUACAAGAUGGCAUCAUGAGUCCGCAUGUUCACAUGAUUAAAGGUAUUCCGGUAGACGAUGGGGAUGCGUUCCAUUAGAUAGUAGGCGGGGUAACGGCCCACCUAGUCUUCGAUGGAUAGGGGUUCUGAGAGGAAGGUCCCCCACAUUGGAACUGAGACACGGUCCAAACUCCUACGGGAGGCAGCAGUGAGGAAUAUUGGUCAAUGGGCGAGAGCCUGAACCAGCCAAGUAGCGUGAAGGAUGACUGCCCUAUGGGUUGUAAACUUCUUUUAUAAAGGAAUAAAGUCGGGUAUGUAUACCCGUUUGCAUGUACUUUAUGAAUAAGGAUCGGCUAACUCCGUGCCAGCAGCCGCGGUAAUACGGAGGAUCCGAGCGUUAUCCGGAUUUAUUGGGUUUAAAGGGAGCGUAGAUGGAUGUUUAAGUCAGUUGUGAAAGUUUGCGGCUCAACCGUAAAAUUGCAGUUGAUACUGGAUAUCUUGAGUGCAGUUGAGGCAGGCGGAAUUCGUGGUGUAGCGGUGAAAUGCUUAGAUAUCACGAAGAACUCCGAUUGCGAAGGCAGCCUGCUAAGCUGCAACUGACAUUGAGGCUCGAAAGUGUGGGUAUCAAACAGG